UUGUUUACCGAUUUUAGGCGGAUCAAUGGCAAUACCUUGAAGGUUUGCAGGAAUCGUCCAUGAAGCUAGUGGGGGCACUGAAUUAACUCGAUACGAGUAUGCCUCGCGCAAUUUUGCAGCCUGAUAAUAAUCCCCCACAUGCUUAGAUAUAUCAUCACCUGUAUUAGAGGUGGCCACGGUUCAGUUCCCGGUUCGAACCGGAACCGGAACCGCCGGUGCCCGGUUCCAAAAACUGGAACCGGAACCGAACCGGAAAAUAACUCUCACGAUUUCGGUUCUGAACCGUGAACCUACGGUUCCGGUUCCGGUUCGAACCGUUAGAACCGUCUGUUUUUUUUUUUAAUGUAAUUUUUAUUAUUUUAUGUAUUGUUGUGUAAAAUUUAAUGAAAUUUGCUUUAAUAAAAUAAAUGACACAAGAAAAUAUAAAUUUUAUAUACUUAUUUUCUAAAUUGAACUUAUAAUUCAAAGUUAUACCUUACAACUCUUGUAAAUACAAUUUACAAAUUACAACUUUUGGAUGUUAAAAUAAAAUUAAGGCAAUUUAGUUUACAACUUUUAAUUGGGGGAAAAAGAAAUAAGGAAAUAGGACUUGAGCUUCUUUUUCGUUUUUGUUAUAAUUGAGUUGCCUACGUAUCCCGAAAGAAUCAAAGUCCACUAUGGAUUAAUUAACGAAUAACUAUUUUAAAAAAAAAUCAAUUAACUGAUAACUAUUAACCUAUACCACUAAUCAACAACUAACGACAUAAGUAUUUUUACAACUCACGCAUGAUCCUCCAUUUGUAACCAAAAUAACUCGGUUCCCAAAAUAAUAAACACUAUGGAGCUACUGAUAUAAACUCCCUCCGUUCCGUCUUAAGUUGAUCAACUUCUUUUUAACAUAAAAUUUAAGAAAUUAAUAUUUUAAAUGUAUUUGAUAAUAAAGUAAAUACCUUACUUAUAAGCAGUUCUCAGACGGUUCCACGGUUCCCGGUUCUAACUGUGGAACCGUAGGUUCACGGUUCCAGCCCGGUUCCAGCACGGUUCCAACACGGUUCCCGGUUCCACGGUUCGGUUCCGGUUCGGAACCGGGAACCGGCGGUUUGAAGAAAUUGGAACCGGAACCGAACCAGCCGAGCACGGUUUCGGUUUCGGUUCGGAACCGUAUGACAUGGUUCCAGUUCCAGAACCGUCCCGGGCGGUCCGGUUUCAAGGUUCUGUUCCUGGUUCCGGUUUUUUUGGCCAUGUCUAACCUGUAUGUCUGAACAACAUUCAUGCAAAUAUAAAAAUAUUAAAUUCUA
rnacentral:lncRNA from 1 species